UAGGGAAUCUUCGGCAAUGGGGGGAACCCUGACCGAGCAACGCCGCGUGAGUGAAGAAGGUUUUCGGAUCGUAAAGCUCUGUUGUUAAGGAAGAACGAGUGUGAGAAUGGAAAGUUCAUACUGUGACGGUACUUAACCAGAAAGGGACGGCUAACUACGUGCCAGCAGCCGCGGUAAUACGUAGGUCCCGAGCGUUGUCCGGAUUUAUUGGGCGUAAAGCGAGCGCAGGCGGUUAGAUAAGUCUGAAGUUAAAGGCAGUGGCUCAACCAUUGUAGGCUUUGGAAACUGUUGAACUUGAGGGCAGAAGGGGAGAGUGGAAUUCCAUGUGUAGCGGUGAAAUGCGUAGAUAUAUGGAGGAACACCGGUGGCGAAAGCGGCUCUCUGGUAUGUAACUGACGCUGAGGCUCGAAAGCGUGGGGAGCGAACAGG
rnacentral:rRNA from 1 species